rnacentral:sRNA from 1 species
CAAGGCUUUGAUGAUCAGUAAAAAGUGAACCGUAUAUUUUAGCAGUUGAGAGCAUAACAUCAACUACAAUCUGAGUUCUG